UUAAGGAGCCUGAGGACGGGGGCGGCGGACCUGCUCGGUGCCUUAGCCGGGGGAGGUGCCUGUGGAAAUGGGGCCUCAGGUGUUAGCCGGGCAAAGCCGCUGGGACCCCGGGAAGCCCCGCGGAGCUGGUGCUGCGAAUUGGUUUCUGGUUUGGUGCAAUAUCAACCCAGAACAACUAUGCUUCCUAAGAGAGAAAUGCCCAAACACCAAGGCCUAGCUUUUGUGCAUGACCAUGAGAAAGAAGAUCUAUAAAGAAAGUGGCUUUGUAUGCCUAAUGCUUUGUGAAGAAAUUAUUAUGUGCCGCUUCAGAGCUGGAGCUGAGGACUUGUUGAUUACCUCCCAUUUACCAAGAUUACAGCAAAUUAUAUUCAACUGCACUGGCAUACUUAUUAAUAUACCUGCAAUAUGGUACAUUACCUUUUGGAAUAUGGAUGAGCAGCACCC